GUUGUACUGGCGAAUCGGAGUUUUAAUGAAGUGGGUGUGAUUACUCUUGACUUUUUUGUGAAAUCGAAGUUACAUCUGUGAUUGAAGAAUUAAAAGGGUGUCUAUAGAAUUGAGUAUGCGGAGUGAAUGAAAUUUAUUGGGUUAAUCUAACAAGACAGUCAGUGGAUACAAGGUCGUGAGUAUAAAGUGGUAUUAGAGAUUAGCAGAUCGGGUUGUUCGAGGUUCUCUGUAACGUCU
rnacentral:lncRNA from 1 species